UACGUAGGGGGCUAGCGUUGUCCGGAAUCAUUGGGCGUAAAGCGCGUGUAGGCGGUUCGGUAAGUCCGCUGUGAAAGUCGGGGGCUCAACCCUCGAAUGCCGGUGGAUACUGUCGGGCUAGAGUGCGGAAGAGGCGAGUGGAAUUCCUGGUGUAGCGGUGAAAUGCGUAGAUAUCUGGAGGAACACCGGUGGCGAAGGCGGCAUUCUGGACCGAAACUGACGCUGAGGCGCGAAAGCCAGGGGAGCAAACGGG
rnacentral:rRNA from 1 species